rnacentral:rRNA from 1 species
GUAGGGAAUAUUGGGCAAUGGAGGCAACUCUGACCCAGCCAUGCCGCGUGCAGGAUGACGGCCCUCUGGGUUGUAAACUGCUUUUAUACGGGAAGAAAAAAUACUACGUGUAGUAUACUGACGGUACCGUAAGAAUAAGGAUCGGCUAAAUCCGUGCCAGCAGCCGCGGUAAUACGGAGGAUCCAAGCGUUGUCCGGAUUUAUUGGGUUUAAAGGGUGCGUAGGCGGAUCUUUAAGUCAGUGGUGAAAGCCUGCAGCUUAACUGUAGAAUUGCCAUUGAAACUGAAGAUCUUGAAUGUGGUUAAAGUAGGCGGAAUGUAUCAUGUAGCGGUGAAAUGCUUAGAUAUGAUACAGAACACCGAUAGCGAAGGCAGCUUGCUGAACCAUUAUUGACGCUGAGGCACGAAAGCGUGGGGAGCGAACAGGAUUAGAUACCCCUGUAGUCC